rnacentral:rRNA from 1 species
UCCGGUGGCAAUAGAGAAAGGGCCACACCUGUUCCCAUCUCGAACACAGAAGUUAAGCCUUUCAUCGCUGAUGGUACUUGGGGGGCAGCCCCCUGGGAGAGUAAGUCGUCGCCGGGU